rnacentral:lncRNA from 1 species
CAUUGUCUUGAGAACAACUUGAACAUUUCACUCUUGAUAUCUGAGAAUAAAUCUCCAGAUCACCCCAAACCUCAUAUACUUGCAUAAAAUAAGUGGUGGCAGAGGGAAGAGACUGAAAAUUCAGGUAGAGAGAAGGUGAUGCUUUUGGGUUCAGUAAAGCUGCAGAUCAUUACUGUCAUAAAAAUCCCGCAACAAAUGAGAUCAGUCUCAAUUUUCAACACACCAAGAGAGAGUUUAUUCAACUAAGCAAGCAGCAAAGUUCUGUGGCCAGUGUGAAAAAAAGAAAAAACAGGGAGAAGAGAAAAUGUUCCUUCCAUCUCAGUUCCACUCAUUUAAAUGCAUCUUCAGACUAGAACAAUGACAUCUCAUUUUCAACAAAGACUUUUGGAAAUUGAUCUCCUAAAAAGAUGUCAGCAAACAGACACAAUAUCCUCAUCAUUGUAUAGCAAGUGCAGUCUGGAGAAUCUGUGUGGAGAUCCUUGAAAACCUCCAAAAUUCAUUUUGGAGGCUACGGGGGAGAAGCUGGAGCUAAAGAAAGUUGUGUUCGCUGAGCCUUCUGUAAGAUAUUCACUUACAGAACAUAGUUUUGCUGCUUACAAAAUGCUUGUAGCAGAUGUGGGAUAGAGAAUUAAUAUUUUUCAAGCUUGUGAAUGCCAGAUGACUCCUCUGUUGGAAGAAAGGGGAGUUAAAGCAACUGGAUGAGGCUGGAUGGUUAAGGUCUGUGGUUUAUCUUCAGCACAUAGACACUCUGCUUGGACAAAUGCAGGUCAAGAAGCAUCAGCCUUUAUAUCCAGAAGCUCUCUACAAUUCCUCUGUUUCAGUGAGUCUAAGUUGAAAGAAAAAUAGAUCUUAAUGUCAAGUUAUUUAUUCACUACAGAAGGUGGUAAAAAGUAGUGUGACAUUUCCAUAUGCUCAUGGUGUGCCGCAGUUGCUUAACUGUGGCUGAAGGGAGAUGGAUAAGUAGGAAAUAAGCAGGAAAUGACCUAGAGCUACAGAGAAAUGAGUUCCAAGCACAGAUCGAUACAUUAAAACCCUCACAAUGAGAGGCAUGCCCUGGCAUCCCACACCUUGCCCAGCUCUGAGGACUUAGAGCUGCCUCUCUGCAUUGGGAAGGGAGUGAGCAGGCUGAUGGUGAUGUCUGCUCUUAGGGCCCUGCUGCCAUCAUUGUCUGGGAGCAUUUCAAUCUACAGACCAUUUCCCUAAGAGAUUUGUAUAAUUACACAGCAAAAAAAAAGAGUAGAGUAUUAUCACACCUGUUGUUUUGCUGCUUGGGCUGUAAGCCCUCUUAGGAAGUGGCACAGUAACUAUCAUCAUUAACCUCUGUCACCAGCAGCUUUGUUCUCAGUGGCAUUUAGCUUUAUACACUUGAGUCAAUUCCUUGAGGCUUUUGAACAAAAUCUUCCUUUGGUUAUUGCCAGUGGGAACAAAAAAAAUCAAACAAAGGCACUAGUUCUCCCUAUCAAUAGCACUGUUUUGCUUUGCAUGGAAAUUUUGGAUGAAUUCUUGACAAUAAAAAUAAUAACAAUAAUGAGUCA